rnacentral:lncRNA from 10 species
UUUAUUUUUUAUUUUUUUGGUGAGACAGAGUCUCACUGUGUCACCCAGGCUGGAGUGCAGUGGUGCAAUCUCAGCUCACUGCAACCUCCACUUCCUGGGUUCAAGUGUUUCUCCAGCCUCAGCCUACCAAGUAGCUGGGACUACAGGCGUGUGCCACCACGCCCAGCUAACUUUGUAAAAUACUAUGUUUUUUUUCCAGGAUGGAAGGCAGCUAAAAAGACGAAAAAAAGCAGUAAAAUACUGUAUUUUAUACAAUUGCAUUUUAUAACUGAUUAUUGGGUUUAGGAAUAUUACUAUUAUUAUAGUGAUCUUGUAUUCAGCAACUGUGCUAAACUAAUUCUAAAUAUUGUCCUCGUUUUCUAUCUGGACAAAUCAUAUUGUCUACAAUUAACAGCACUGGGUCUCUUCCUUGGCAAUCUAUGCUUCCUAAUUACUUUUCCUUUCUUAUUACAUUGGCUAGGACAACUAACACAAUUUGGAAUAAAUGUAAUUAUUAUGGGCACAUUUGUCUUAUUUAAAAAGUUAAUGUGGCUGGGCAUGGUGGCUCAUGCCUGUAACCCCAGCACUUUGGGAGGCCAGGGCUGGCAGACCACUUCAGGCAGGAGUUUGAGACCAGCCUGGCCAACAUAGAGAAACCCCGUCUCUACUAAAAAUACAAAAACAAUUAGCCGGGCAUGGUGGCUCAUGCCUGUAGUCCCAGUUACUCAGGAGGCUGAAGCAGGAGAUGGAGCAGAGCCCAGAAGGCAGAGGUUGCAGUGAGUGGAGAUUGCACCAUUGCACUCCAGCCUGGGCUACAGAGCGAGACUCUGUCUCAAAACAAAAAACAAACAAACAAAAGUUAAUGUUUCUUUAUUUUCACCAUCAAACAGGAAGUUUGCUCUAGGUUUUUUCAGAUACCUUUCUCAAGGUAAGGCCAUUUCCUACAGUCUCAGUUUGCUAUAAAUUUUAAUCCUGAAUUACUGAUGAAUUUUAUCAUAUCUCUUUUCUAUCUACUAACAUGACCCUGCAGUUCUUUUUUAAAAAAAUUUGUAGAUACAGGAUCUCACUAUGUUGCCCAGGCUGGUCUUGAACUCCCGAGCUCAAGGGAUCCUCCCACCUCAGCCUCCCAAAGUGUUGGAAUUACAGGUAUGAGCCAUCGUGGCUGGCUGAGUUCUUCUAAUCUGUUAAUAUGGUUAAUUCUGUUGGUAAAAUGUUCUGAUUUUCAACAAGUCUUGCACUCCUGCCAUAAAUCCUACCUAGUCAUAUUAUAUUAUUUUUUUAAUUCAGGGUUGCACUUAAGUUGUCAUUAUUUUAUUUCAGAUUUUGGAAUUUGCAAUUAGAUGUAAAGUUAAUCUAUAAUUUUCUUGUUCCUCAUAAAAUACAUUAAAUAGCUCUCUCUUUCUAUUAUCUGAUAUAGCUUGCAUAAAUGAAUCUCAAGGAUUUCAUAAAACUCACCUGUAAAACUAUCUUAACCUGGGACUUUGAUGAUUUAUGAUUUAUUACCAAUUAAAUUUCUCUCCAUGGUUAGUAGUCAGUCUCCUCACAUCUUCUAUUUCUUCUGUUUUUUUUUUUUUGAAACGGGGCUCCCUCUGUCACCCAGCCUAGUCUAUUUCUUCUUGGAUCAACUUUGGAGAUACAUAUAUAUAUAUUUAAUAUGUUAAUUAAACAUAUGUAUUUAAUUACCCAUUUAUAUGUUCUUUAUUGGCACAAAUUUGUUAACAGUGUUAUCUAUUAUUUCUGAAUUUCUACAUUAAUUUAAUAAUAAUUGCUUUCUAUUCCUAAUUUUGUUUUACUCAUUUUUUUCUUGAUCAGUCUUGCUAGAGAUUUAUCUUCGUAAAUUUGUGAAGAAAAUUUUCCGGAUGAAUAAUAGAAGACUUUCUUUUUCUUGGAUUAGCUUAAUAACAGCUCACAUUUCAUCCUUCAGUAUGUUGGUUUUGAAUGUAAUCCUUUUUGUUUUUAAUGUAGCUACGUUUUUUCAUCUUAAAAAUAUUUAUAUUUAGCCAGGCGCAGUGGCUCACACCUGUAAUCCCAGCAUUUUGGGAGGCCAAGGCUAGGGGAUCACCUGAGGUCAGGAGUUCGAGACCAGGCUGGCCAACAUGGUAAAACCCCAUCUCUACUAAAACAUACAAAAAAUUAGCCGGACGUGCCAGUGUAUGCCUGUAAUGCCAGCUACUCGGGAGGCUGAGGCAGGAGAAUCACUUGAACCCGGGAGACCGGGAGACAGAGGUUGGAGUGAGCCGAGGUUUCACCAUUACCCUCCAGCCUGGGUGACAGAGCAAGACUCCACCUCAAAAAAAAAAAAAUUGCAUUUCUCUUUUCCGGUUUGAAAGCCCUUAUAUAAGCUCCAUGAACAUCUGUCCUAGCUCUUCCAGAACAAGGACCUCAGGUCUUUCUGUUUAUGAAUCUCCAGCCUCCAGCACAAUGCCUGGAUCAUUACAGAUGAUGACAUUAUUGAUAGCCACCAUCCAUUGAAAGCUUAUUGUAUUCUAGGAACUGUGCCAACCGUUUUGCAUGCAUUAUGACAAUUUGAUGAAAAAUUUAUUUUAAAAAAUCAGGCUCUUUUAUAACAGAAAGUAGAAUGAUGGUUGCCAGGGACUGCAGUGAGGGGCAAAUGGACAGUUGUUUAAAUGGGUACAGAGUACAGAGUAUCAGUUUUAAAAUAUGGAAAAGUUCCUGAGAUCUGUUGAAAAAUGACAUGCAUGUAAUAAACACUUUUUUUUUUCUGAGACAGAGUCUUGCUCUGUCACCCAGGCUAGAGUGCUGUGGCACAAUCUCUGCUCACUGCAACCUCUGCCUCCUGGGUUCAAGCGAUUCUCCCGCCUCAACCUGCCGAGUAGCUGGGAUUACAGGCACCUGUCACUGCGCCCGGCUAAUUUUUGUAUUUUUAGUAGAGAUAGGGUUUCACCAUGUUGGCCAGGCUGGUCUUGACCUCCUGACCUCGUGAUCCACCCGCCUCAGCCUCCCAAAGUGCUGGGAUUACAGGCGUGAGCCACCACGCCUGGCGUAAUAAACACUUUUAUACUGUACUCUUAAAAACGGUUAGGAUGGUAAAUUUUAUGUUAUGUGUUUUUUACCACAAUAAAAAAUUGUUUUUUAAAUCAGGCCCUCUUAAAUCAAAACCACGAUGAGAUAUUACCUCACACCUGUUGGCAUGACUAUUAUCUUGGAAACAAAAGAAAAUAAUUGUUGGCGGCUGGGUGUGGUGGCUCAUACUUGUAAUCCCAGCACUUUGGGAGGCUGAGGCAGGCUGAGGAGGCUGAGGAGGCUGAGGAUCACUUGAGGCCAGGAGUUCGAGACCAGCCUGGCCAACAUAGUGAAAACCUGUCUCUACUAAAAAUACAAAAAAAAAAAAAAAUUAGCCAGGUGUGGUGGCGGGCGCCUGUAAUCUCAGCUACUCGGGAGGCUGAGGCAGGAGAAUCAUUUGAACCCGGGAGGUGGAGGUUGCAGUGAGCGGAGAUCACGCCAUUGCACUCCAGCCUGGGUGACAAGAGCAAAACUCUGUCUCAAAAAAAAAAGAGAAAAAGAAAAUAAUUGUUGGCAAAGACAUAAAGAAAUUAGAAUCCAAAUGUUGGUGGGAAUGUAAAAUUUUGUAGCUGCUAAGGAAAACAGUACAAAGGUUCCUCAAAAAAAUUAAAAAUAGAACUACCAUAGGCUCUAGUAAUCCCAUUUCUGAAUAUAAGUCCAAAUGCAACAAAUUCAUUAUCUUAACCCCUACAGUCCUCCACUUUACCAACUAAGUUAUCAAAGAGCAUCAAAUUCAUUAUCUCAAAGAGAUGUCUGUACUUUCAUGUUAAUUGCAGCAUUAUUCACAACAGUCAAGAAGUAUGUAUUAGUCUGUUCUCACACUGCUAUAAAAAAAUACCUGAAGCUGGGUGCUGUAGCUCAUGCCUGUAAUCCUGGCACUUUGAGAGGCCAAGGAAGGUGGACCACCUGAGGUCAGGAGUUCAAGACCAGUCUGGCCAACAUGGUGAAACCCCAUCUCUACUAAAAAUACAAAAAUUAGUCCGGGCGUUGUGGCUCACACCUGUAAUUCCAGCACUUCAAGAGGCUGAGGUAGGCAGAUCACUUGAGGUCAGGAGUUCAAGACCAGCCUUACCAACAUGGUGAAACCCCAUCUCUACUAAAAAAAAAAAAAAAAAAAAUUAGCUCGGCGUGGUGGCAGGUGCCUGUAGUCCCGGUUACUCGGGAGGCUGAGGCAGGAGAAUCAUUUGAACCUGGGAGGUGGAGGUUGCAGUGAGCCCAGGUCGUACCACUGCACUCCAGCCUGGGCAACAAAGCUAGACUCCAUCUCAAAAAUAAAUAAAUAAAUACAAAUAAAAAUAUAAAAAUCAGCUGGGCAUGGUGGCACACGCCUGUAGUCCCAGCUACUCAGGAGGCGGAGGCAGCAGAAUCACUUGAACCUGGGAGGUAGAGGUUGCAGUGAGCCAAGAUCACGCCACUGCACUCCAGUCUCGGUGAGAGAGCAAGACUCGGUCUCAAAAAAAAAAUUAGCCAAGUGUGGUGGCAACUGCCUGUAAUCCCAGCUAUUCGAGAGGCUUAGGCAGGAGAAUCACUUGAACCUGGGAAGUGGAGGUUGCAGUGAGCUGAGACUGUGCCACUGAACUCCAGCCUGGGCAAGAAAACAAAGACUCCAUCUCAAAAAAAAAAAAAAAAGAAAGAAAAUUGUAUACACAUACAAUGGAAUACUAUUCAGCCUUAAAAAGGAAGGAAAUCCUGGCUGGGCAUGGUGGCUCACGCCUAUAAUCCCAGCACUUUGGGAGGCCUAGGCAGAUGGAUCACCUGAGGUCAGGAGUUCGAGACCACCCUGGCCAACAUGGCGAAACCCUGUCUCUACUAAAAAGACAAAAAUUAGCCGGGCAUGAUGGCACACACCUGUAGUCCCAGCUACUUGGGAAGCUGAGGCAGGAGAAUCGCUUGAACCCUCGAGGUGGAAGUUGCAGUGAACCAAGAUCAUGCCACUGCACUCCAGACUGGGUGACAGAGUGAGACUCUGUCUCAAAAAGAAAAAUAAAUAAAUAAAGGAAAGAAAUCUUGACAAAUGCUACAACAUGGAUGAGCCUUGAAGACUUUAUGGUAAGUGAAAUAAGCCAGUCACAAAAAGACAAGCAUUGUAUGAUUUCACUUAUAUGAAUUACCAAGAGUAGUCAAAUUCAUAAAAAUAGCAGAAUGGUGGUUGCCAGGGGCUGGGGGAUGGAGAACAGGGAGUUGGAUAUGGAGUUUGACUUUUUUUUUUGAGAUGGAGUCUCACUCUUGUUGCCCAGGCUGGAGUGCAAAGGCACGAUCUUGGCUCACUGCAACCUCCGCCUCUCAGGUUCAAGUGAUUCUCCUGCCUCAGCCUCCUGAGUAGCUGGGAUUACAGGCAUGAGCCUCCAUGCCCUGCUAAUAUUGUAUUUUUACUAGAGACGGGGUUUCACCAUGUUGGUCAGGCUGGUCUCGAACUCCUGACCUCAGGUGAUCUGUCUACCUCGGCCUCCCAAACUGCUGGGAUUACAGGCGUGAGCCACCGUGCCCGGCCUUAAGUUUGAUUUUUGCAAGAAGAGUUCUAGAGAUCCACUGCACAGCAAUGUGAAUACAGUACAGUAUGUGUACAUCCUGUACACAUAAUGUUGGCCAGGCUGGUCUCCAACUUCUGGCCUCAAGUGAUUUGCCCACCUCAGCCUCCCAAAGUGCUGGGAUUACAGGUGUGAGCCACCGCACCCAUCAAGGUGGGCUUUAUUUUUACUUAUUUAUUUAUUUUUUGAGAUGGAGUCUCACUCUGUUGCCCAGGCUGGAGUGCAAUGGCUUGAUCUCGGCUCACUGCCACCUCCACCACCUCCCAGGUUCAAGCAAUUCUCCUGCCUCCGCCUCGCAAGUAGCUGGGAUUACAGGCAUGAGCCACUUCGCCCAGCUGGGUGGGCUUUAAAUGCCAUCACAAGGGUCCUUAUAAGUGAGAGCCAGUGGGGGAUAAGAGAUAUGAGAAGGUGAUGUGAAGACAAUGUGAAUACAAAGGCAGAGCUUGCAGUGAUGCAGUCACAAACCCAGGAAUGCUGGCAGCCACUGGAAGCUGGAAGAGACAAGGAAUGGCUUCUCUCCUGGAUUAUCCCCUAAGGAAGCAUGGCUUUGCCAGGUUUCAGACUUCUGGUCUCCAAACUGUGAGAGAAUAAAUUUUUGUUGUUUAAGCCACGAAGUUUGUAGUAAUCUAUUACAGCAGCCUCAAGAAGCCAAAUAAAGAUAUUUUUAUGUGUGCCCUGCUUACCCUCAAUGUUAACUGAAAUUGACUACAAAUAAGCAGUUGAUAUGCUAGGAUUGUCUACAAGGUAAUUUGUAAAACAUCUUCAUGGCCAGAGGGGAAAAAAAAUCUAAUCGGAUCUCAUAAUCAGAACAUCAAAAAUCAGUGCAUGAGUUAUGAAAUGCAUUUCCCCUGGCCUCACAGAAGUUCCUGUAACAGUGGUUGAAGCCACAGGAGUUGUGCUCAGAAUAAAGCCCUGGCCAGGUGCGGUGGCUCAUGCCUAUAAUCCCAGCACCCUGAGAGGCCGAGGCCACAGGGUCACUUGAGGCCAAGAGUUUGCGACCAGCCUGGGCAACAUAGUAAGACCUCAUCUCGAUUAAUUAAAAAAAUUUUUUUUAAUUAAAAAAGAAGAAAGCACUGCAAAGAAAACACAUUACAGCUUGCAUCCUUUGGGAUCAGUCAACAAAAGACAAGGAUGAGUAGUCAGGACAUUAUUACAGACUUCAGUGUUACCAUUUUCAAUAGAAUUUCUGAUGCCAAGUGCCAACCUUGGCUGCGUCCUGAGAUUAUGCAAUUCAUGCCCAAUCUUAGGGCAUGUGCCCCUAAUCCCAACACUGUGGAAGGCCAAGGUAGGAGGAUCGCUUGAGGCCAGGAGUUUGAGAUCAGCCUGGGCAACAAAGCAAGACCCUGUCUCUACAAAAAAUGGGACAUUAGCAAAUGUCUUGCAAAAUGGCAGAUGGGGAGAGAGUGGAGAAAGGCCAACAGCUGACAAGUAUUUGAUUGUUGGCUUGGAUAGACAGUAGACCAAGGUGAGUAAAAAUGCAUUAGUCAGAUGGCAGCACUCCCACCUGACCUCCUUGAACCACCGUUUUCCCACAAGACCGAAGGCUUCUGAUGUUGUGAAAGAGGCAAAGUGUCCAGAAGCCAAUGGAAUUCAAUAGAGGUGUUAACUUUAUGAUAUUAGCAAGGCAUUAAGAUAGCUUAUGAACUCAAGGUUAGCAGUAGGCUGGAUGCAGUGGCUCACGCCUGUAAUCCCAGCAAUUUGGGAGGCCAAGAUAAGAGGAUCGUCUGAGGCCAGGAGUUCGAGAACAGCCUGGGCAGCAUAGCGAGACCUCAUUUCUUUUUCUUUUUCUUUUUUUUUUUUUGAGAUGGAAUUUCACUCUUGUCGCCCCAGGCUGGAGUGCAAUGGUGUGACCUUGGCUCAGCACAACCUCCACUUUCUGGGUUCAAGCAAUUCUUCUGCCUCAGCCUCCUGAGUAGCUAGGAUUACAGGCACAUGCCAUCAUGCCCAGCUAAUUUUGUAUUUUUUAGUAGAGACGCGGUUUCACCAUGUUGGUCAGGCUGGUCUCGAACUCCUGAUCUCAGGUGAUCCCCCACCUUGGCCUCCCAAAGUACUAGGAUUACAGGAGUGAGCCACUGGGCCCGGCC